rnacentral:pre_miRNA from 1 species
UCUUAUGUAUGAACUAAUAAAGUAGUUUCUUGAGAUUGAAUCUACUCUUUGUGAAAAUGCUGUGAG